UGGAGCCCUUGCUGAAGGUUGCUCUGGGGUCGUCUGCGUUCGCCGUCUUCUGGGUGCUUGCGGUGUUCCCGGCGGUGCCGUUCCUUCCCAUCGGCCGCACGGCUGGGUCCCUGCUGGGCGCCAUGCUGAUGGUGCUGCUGGGCGUGAUGAGCGCCGACGAGGCCUACGCGGCCGUGGACCUGCCCAUCCUGGGCCUGCUGUUCGGCACCAUGGUGGUGAGCGUGUACCUGGAGCGCGCCGACAUGUUCCGUCACCUGGGCCGCCUGCUGUCGUGGCGGAGCCAGGGCGGUCGCGACCUGCUGCUGCGCACCUGCGCCGUCU
rnacentral:lncRNA from 1 species